UCCGGCAGCCAUAUCACCCUGCAGCCCAAGACUGGUUGCCCACUGAAGCUAAGCAGGGUUGAGCCUGGUCAGUACCUGGAUGGGAGACCUCCUGGGAAAACUAGGUUGCUGCUGGAA
rnacentral:rRNA from 1 species